rnacentral:tRNA from 1 species
UCCCUGGUAGCUCAGGUAAAGCAUCUGCCUGUAAUGCAGGAGACCCAGGUUCAAUCCUUGACCAGGAAG